GGAGCUGGGUUCGAGCGCUGGGGCUGCGGUUGGGAAACUACUGGAGGAUGUGGUGCACCAGAAUAAGAGAAUAAACCAAGAAACAGGAAGACGUGAUCCAGGCAACAGGAUAUUCCAGUAUAGUGUUGGAAACAGAAGCCCAGUAGUGAAAGCUACAGCUGCCAUAUACUUGCAGUGGAAUCACAGGAGCAAUCACAGGUCUUUGUAAGUGGCAGUAACAACUCACUUGACUUUCCUUCACCUGACACUGUCACCUAUCACAACACUGGCCAUCAAACUGGUAGAACAACCAGUCCUCUGAUUUGGUUUCCUAGGGAAGGCAGUUGUUCGGCUCAAUGUUUUGUUAACAUCAAGGCUCUUAUUCUUGCAUUUGAAACCAAACACCUCAAUCAUUUUGCUUGCACCAGGGUUGGUACAAGAAGGCACGGUCCUUCUUGGGUGGGUAUUUUGCAUUGUCACAAAUACUCUUAUUUAGAGAAAACCAACUCUGAAACCCUAAAACUAGUAUCUAGUAAAGGAAGAGAUUCAGUUCUAUCAAGCAAUAUAUUUUUCAGUCAAGAGUGACGCUGUAAGUAUAGAUUCAGCAGUAUAAACAUAUUACCAAAAGCUUGGAUUUUUAUUUAUGCAUUUUAUUUUUGAGAUGGAGUUUCGCUCUUGUUGCCCAGGCUGGAGUGCAAUGGCGCGAUCUCGGCUCACUGUGACCUGCGCCUCCCGGGUUCAAGCAAUUCUCCUGCCUCAGCCUCCC
rnacentral:lncRNA from 1 species